GCUGCGAAACACAGCACCUCUCUGCGGUCCCGCGGUGUUUGAAGAAACACUCUUAGCUCUCGUGCAGAGACAGGAGCACAAGGAGAUCGGGGCCAUGGCUAUGUUCGUUGAGCUCCUGGACUGCGUUAAGGUCGCUGACAUCGUGGCGGAUGUCAAUAAAUACAGGAUCCAGAGCCUCCUCCAGUCACACCUGCAGAGUCAGAACUCAGUGCUGCGUGACUUGGCUACCACCAGCCUGGUCAGGCUGUCUGCGAUACCCAAGAUGGCAGUAACUCUGCAAGACCUGCUGCC